rnacentral:lncRNA from 1 species
UCCUCUACCGUCUGCCCCACUUCCUUCCUCCUCUCUUCCACUCUGUUCUGCCCCAAUCUCUCCUCCUUUCUCUCACCCCUGUUCCUGCCCCACUCUCCUCCUCCUCUCCACCCUGUUCCUGUCCCCCUCUCAGAAGUGCAGUGUGUGUUGCUGGGGGAUCUGUUGGUGCUGUUCAGAAGCAGGUGAUAAGAUGGUGUUGAAGUGUCAGAGUAAGAGUAACAUCGCUGUUCAGGAGGGAAAGCAGAUGCUCCGCCCUAUCCUCAAAACUAGACUCUGCCUUCCUCCGAGAGGUGGCCACAGACCGUAAGGCCUUCUACGUGAUCUUCACCUGGCG